AUGCACUGCUUUGUGUGGUGGGGGAUAUGCAUACCGAAGAAGAAAGAGGGAUUGGGGUUUAGAGACCUUCACAGUUUCAACCUUGCUAUGUUAGCAAAGCAGUGUUGGCGACUACUCUAGGACCCGGACUCUUUAUCUACACGUGUGUUGAGUGCAAAGUAUUAUCCAGAUGGCAGCAUUCUAAAGGCUGGUCCGAAAAAGGGAUCGUCAUACCCGUGGCAGAGUAUUGUUUUUGGCAUCCAAACCUUUCAAAGGGGCAGUGUAUGGCGCGUGGGAUUAGGAGCACAAAUAAACAUAUGGCAAGAUCCGUGUUAG
rnacentral:rRNA from 1 species